rnacentral:rRNA from 1 species
CAAGACCUCUCACUAUUGGAGCGGCCGAUGUCUGAUUAGCUAGUUGGUGGGGUAAAAGCCCACCAAGGCGACGAUCAGUAGCUGGUCUGAGAGAGCGAUCAGCCACACUGGGACUGAGACACGGCCCAGACUCCUACGGGAGGCAGCAGUGGGGAAUUUUGGACAAUGGGGGCAACCCUGAUCCAGCCAUGCCGCGUGCGUGAAGAAGGCCUUCGGGUUGUAAACCGCUUUUGUCAGGGAAGAAAUUGGCCAGGUUAAUACCUUGGCUAGAUGACGGUACCUGGAGAAUAAGCACCGGCUAACUACGUGCCAGCAGCCGCGGUAAUACGUAGGGUGCAAGCGUUAAUCGGAAUUACUGGGCGUAAAGCGUGCGCAGGCGGUUUUGCAAGUCAGAUGUGAAAGCCCCGGGCUCAACCUGGGAAUU